UGCCAGAGAAUUUUAUUAAUUGCACAAGAACUUUCCAGCAGUCCCUGGGGAACACUUCCUCUAAUCCCUUGCUAACUAAAAUGAAGUGUGGCAUCAGCCCAGCAGCGGCAGUGCCCCCCGGAGGUGUUAGAAAGGCAGAACUUCAGGCUCUACCUUGGAGCUGCUGAAUCUGAAUCUCAUUUAACAAGAUCCUCAGGAGAAGCAAAUGCACUGUCCUACCACAGUCUUCAUAACAUUCUUCCAGGGACAAGUCCAUCUGCAAGAUGCAGAAAUGAGCAUUGAUCUGGGGGAAUUUGAUCAGCAAUAAUCAAUCCCUCUAGCCACAGGAACUGGUGCCUGAUAAUAACAUAAUGCAAAGCAAGGCAAUAAGGUGAGUGAAACUUGAGGGGCAUGACUUCUUGUGUGUGUUUUUGGAGGAGAGAGUUUCCCUGUUACUCUAGACUGGAUGCCAUUGUGACGUGAGACUAAAGACGCCAGACUCCACCAUAUAGAGCAGGGUAUGGAGCCAGUCAGGUGAUAUGGAGCCCCAGACAAAGACAGGCCCUGCAGCAUCUUUGUCUGGUGCCAGGUUUUCUUUUAACCUUUUAGUUUUGUGAGUCAAUCAAUCUCCUUUUUACUGAAUGCAGGUUGAGUCCUGUUUUUGUUUCUGGGUCACAUAUGCAGUAAGACAUAGAUACCAGUACAACAUCUGCUCUACUCAUUGGGUACUUUAUUAGCUCUCACCCAGGGUUGUUAAUAAACACCUGUGUAGGUGUUUUUAUCUCUGCAGAUAGAGUGUAAGUUCCUUGAGAGGAUGAUACU
rnacentral:lncRNA from 10 species